rnacentral:tRNA from 1 species
GAUCGCUUAGUUGGUAAAGCAGCGGACUGAAAAUCCGCGUUCGUGGGUUCGAAUCCCACU